GGCGCUAUAGUGUAGUGGUUAUCACCCGGGAUUCUGAUGUCAGCUCAUUCCCGUGACCCAGGUUCGAACCCUGGUAGUGCCU